GAGAAGAGGACGAUCCUAUCUAGGGCUUCUAACCUCAGAAAAAAGAGGUUUAACUCCUUUUACUUCUCU
rnacentral:tRNA from 1 species